CACUACUUCCUCCUUUCCCGCCGGCAGAUGCCGUAGUGAAACAGACGCUGAUGUCCGAUUCCUAAUCGAGCCCUGCCAUCUGAUUUCAUUGUAUUUCGGCAUGUUGUUAAUUGCCUCUGGAUGGACAAAGGAAACCACCUUUCUUGACAGGAAUGGGAGUUCCAUGAUGAGAAGAUGAACUCAAAUGGGGAAGAGACCCAACGAACAUAACUAUAAAAAUGAAGACAUAAUCGAUAAUGGAUGAACAACAGAUGCUACUGCUUCGACGGCAUUGCCACGAAAGAAACGAACGAAAGAGGGAAGAGAGAGAGAGUGUGUGAGAGGCCGACCGAUGAUAAAUUCUCGAGAAAUCGUCCUACAGGAAAUCCCUACAGUUUUCACUUAAAUUUACAAGAUGUCAUGAAAAAAAAAGUUAGCCAGAUGAAAAUUUGAGAAAUUGUUGGAUGAGCAAAUAUGCAGCUGGGACGAUAUUUUGUGACCAAGUACAACGAAGUUCACGGGGAAGGGCAGGUGUCUCCAUAAUAGAACGUAAUUGAGGUUGACUCUUUAAUGAUAGGACCGUGACAAGUGUUAAGACAAUUUUGCAAUUACUGUCCGCGUCAUUCUUGUUGGUGGCGUCCAGAACAACAUUUUGCUGUGUGAUUGCUUCGUCUCUCCGGGCAGCUGUAUAAUUCGAUUCUUUUGCAUGAAAUGGCCUGUUUUAUGCAAUGCACUAAAGUCAUCGGCUGUCAUUUGAUUCCAAAACAAGGGAAUGAAAAAUAUAAAAAUCUAAUUUGAAGGAUUGGAAAGCCUUUAAAAUGAUUUCUUGUCUUGCUUGUUCUUGUCUUGUGUUGCUGAAGUUUGAAAGGACUGUGGAAGGCAGAAAACUGGAAAAAAUUCAGCCAUAAGAUUAUGAUUAAGCCUCAUUUCACUGAGCAUAAUGAAUUUCUGGAUUUGAAAUGUUUCAGAUAAUAAUGAUAAAAGAAUAAAAUGGAGACAAACCAUGUUGAAUCUUUCCUUCUCUAAAUUCUGUGUUAAAGAUGCAUAUUGCCACUGAAGGAAGAUAUUCUGCUGACAACAAUAGAUUGAUGACCUUGCCUUAUCAUAAAACCGGAACAAAGACAUUCGUAAUGAAACAGUAUUAACAGAACAUGUUUCUUCCUGUUGUAUUUUAAUGAAAAUGCUAGGUACACUAAAAUAAAUGAAGUUACCAUUCGGCGCUUAAAA